UCGUAUAUAAAUAAUUAACUAGUAUUGGGUGGGACUAUUAUCGUAGCCCCGCCUCCUACAUCCAUCUGCGUGAAGUGAUCUGAGCGGCGAAGAUUAAAGGAUGAAGUCCAACAAACACACAACACCACACACCACUGACACAGAGUUUGGAGGGGCAAUAGGUGCUGCAUGUCUAAUAGUGCUCCUCCCUCUCACGGUGCUCUUCCUGAUGAGUGUGUGUGUGUCUGAGGAGGGUGCUGUGUUCCGCUGGCCCCCCACACUGCCCCCCCUCUCAGACUUCUACGACCCCCGAGCUGUGUUCAUCAUCACUGGGUGGAUCAGCACACACAUUCUGCUCUACUUGCUCCCAGUGGGCAAGGUGUCAGAGGGUUUAGUACUCAGGGAUGGAAGCAGACUGAAAUAUCCAAUAAAUGGGUUCCAUGCGCUGUGUGUGACAGCCGUGUUGGUGUGUGUGUGUGUGUGUUUGGGCGUACCCCUGGCUGUCCUGUAUGAGCUGAUGGUGCCGUUAGCAGUGUGUGCAGUGGGCGUGGCCUUCCUGCUCUCCCUCUACCUCUACACUUCCUCCUUCUGGGCUCCUGCACAUGCCUUGGCACCAGGAGGACACACAGGACAUGCUGUGUAUGAUUUCUUUAUUGGACGGGAGUUAAACCCACGCAUCGGCUCAUUCGAUCUGAAAUAUUUCUGUGAGCUGCGACCAGGGUUAAUUGGCUGGGUGGUGCUGAAUGCAGUGAUGCUGCUAAAGGAGGUUGAGCUCAGAGGAACACCAUCAGUGUCAAUGCUGCUGGUCAACGUCUUCCAAUUGCUCUAUGUCACAGACGCUCUGUGGAACGAAGAGGCAGUGUUGAGCACCAUGGACAUUGUUCACGAUGGGUUUGGCUUUAUGUUGGCUUUUGGUGAUUUGGUUUGGGUUCCGUUCACAUAUGGCCUCCAAGCAGCCUUCCUUGUGUCACACCCCCAUGAGCUCACGCCCUUCAGUGUCCUUACUAUCAUCGUCCUGAACGGAGUCGGAUAUUACACCUUCCGAAAGUCCAACUCUCAGAAGAACCAGUUCAGGAGAGACCCAACACACAGCAGUGUCCGACAUUUAGAGACGAUUCCCACAGCAACAGGAAAGCGGCUGUUAGUGUCAGGAUGGUGGGGGUUCGUCAGACACCCUAAUUACCUUGGAGACCUUUUAAUGGCACUGGCGUGGUCUCUGCCUUGUGGGUUCUCUCACAUCCUACCGUACUUCUAUGUGCUGUACUUCAGCGUGUUGUUGGUGCACAGGGAGGCACGAGACGAGCACCAGUGCAGAGUGAAGUACGGAGUAUCUUGGGACGCUUACUGCAGACGAGUGCCUUACAGGAUCGUCCCCUACAUCUACUGAGCGGUGACGUUUAUUACACUCUCAAGUCAAGAAGCUUUUAUUGUCAUUUCAACCACAAAUCUGACCCAGAGCACAGUGACAUGAAACAAUGUUCCUUCAGGACCAUGAAGCUACACAGAGCUACAUGAAGCUACACAGAGAUAAGGACUGAAGGAAGUUGGUCCAAGACACAAAGUGCAACAGUGUGAGACAAAAUAUACAAAACACUACAGGACGUAUAACACGACAGCCAGUGUGUGUGCUGUAUGUUCCUCUCACGCCUCGUCCUCUCACACACAUUCUACAUGUAUACACAUGCUCAUAAAAUCUCUGUGUGUGUGUGAGUGUGUGUGUGUGUGUGAGUGAGUGAUUGUGUGUGUGUGUGUGUGUGUGUGUGUGUGAGUGUGUGUGUGAGUGUGUG